UACAGAGGUCUCAAGCGUUGUUCGGAUUCAUUGGGCGUAAAGGGUGCGUAGGUGGCGCUGUAAGUCGGGUGUGAAAUUUCGGAGCUUAACUCCGAAACUGCAUUCGAUACUGCGGUGCUUGAGGACUGGAGAGGAGACUGGAAUUCAUGGUGUAGCAGUGAAAUGCGUAGAGAUCAUGAGGAAGACCAGUGGCGAAGGCGGCUCACUGGCCCGAUACUGACGCUGAGGUGCGAAAGCGUGGGGAGCAAACAGG
rnacentral:rRNA from 1 species